ACUUACAUGGCUAACAUGAUAAAUUAUAUUUUGAUUAGAUCGCUAAGUGAUUCGAGUUGACCCAUAUCAUUAAGAAAAUCAGUAUGACUGAUUUAAGUACCCCGGACUAGCUUGUAUCUAGUCUUCUUUGAUUUGACUUGAUGAAGUCAGUAGGAGAAUUUUGAUUAGCUAGUCAAUCUCUUCAUUUAAAAUAUAUUAAAUAAAUCUUCUAAAUUAUUAGAUCCAUAAAAUAAAAUAAUUAUAAAAAUAAUUAGAUCAUAGCCUUCCAUUAAGUUGAGUGAUAAUGGAUCCAUUAGUCUAAUAAUCAUUAGAGGCCCAAAGACCUGGAGCUUAUCUGCUAUUAAAAUUAUCAUUCAUAAUAUGAUAACUCAGUCAUCUCUUUGAUGAGAGGUCAGUUAGCUAACCAA
rnacentral:lncRNA from 1 species